UUUUCCAUCUAUCAGUGAAAACAUUCAACAUUUUUCUUCCUUAUUAAGAAUGGUAUUAAAAAAAGCUUAUGUGAGAGAAAAUAAAAUUUGAUUUUCAAGUUGUCAAAAAACAUCAUAAUAAAAUGCCAGGAAACAAAAUGGCCAACAUAAACUGUUACAGGAACUUUCACAGCUGUAAGCAGCUGUGGCUCUAGUAAGGCAACUCCUUUCAUUAUCAUUUCUUCCAUCUGGUUUAUUUUCUCCUUACUUUAAUUGUACAUGCAUUCUGGCACACAAAUAAUCACUUGAUUUUUUGGGGAAGGGGGGUCAUGAGAGCAAUUGUAGGCAUGUACCCACAGCUUUAUUUUAUUCUGUCUCCUUGGUAGAGAAAGCAAGAAUUUUAUAAUAAAAUAACUGCUUACUAGACUUAGACUUAAUUCCUGUCCCCUGCCCCCAGAAUAUCUGCAUCAUGGACUUUAUUUGAUUACACAGCUAUGGACUCCAUUCUGGUGACCUUCAGUGGCAAGGUUCUGAGGAAGAAGAGGCUGACUUCUUCCCAGGAGUGGGGGAGAGGAGAAAAUGCAAGGAAGUAAUGCUCUUCUAAAGCCGAGUAGAACCACGUAGCCAUGGUUUCCAACUGCACAAGCAUCCCUCAGGAUCCUAAACAUCCCCCUUCCAGCCCUGUCAUAAAGGAAAUAAUACAGAGAACAAGGGGAAGGUGAACUGCUGAAAGGAAGCAGGUCUUGAGGUAUGAGGAAUGGAAGUAUUCCCAGUUGGGCCUGUCUGCCUUUAAAAAGACAAUGAUUACUUCCAAAGACUGGAUUGCUGAUGGUGCCACU